GACGAACGCUGGCGGCGUGCUUAACACAUGCAAGUCGAACGAUGAAGCCCAGCUUGCUGGGUGGAUUAGUGGCGAACGGGUGAGUAACACGUGAGUAACCUGCCCUUGACUCUGGGAUAAGCACUGGAAACGGUGUCUAAUACCGGAUAUUUCAGCUGGCCGCAUGGUCUGGUUGUGGAAAGAAUUUUGGUCAAGGAUGGACUCGCGGCCUAUCAGGUUGUUGGUGAGGUAAUGGCUCACCAAGCCUACGACGGGUAGCCGGCCUGAGAGGGUGACCGGCCACACUGGGACUGAGACACGGCCCAG
rnacentral:rRNA from 1 species